rnacentral:rRNA from 1 species
UACGUAGGGGGCUAGCGUUGUCCGGAUUUAUUGGGCGUAAAGAGCGUGUAGGCGGCCAUGUAGGUCCGGUGUGAAAACUCGAGGCUUAACCUCGAGAUGUCAUCGGAAACCAUUUGGCUAGAGUCCGGAAGAGGAAAGUGGAAUUCCUGGUGUAGCGGUGAAAUGCGCAGAUAUCAGGAGGAACACCAAUUGCGAAGGCAGCUCGCUGGGACGUUACUGACGCUGAGACGCGAAAGCGUGGGGAGCAAACAGG